AUAUUGGACAAUGGGGGAAACCCUGAUCCAGCCAUGCCGCGUGUGUGAAGAAGGACUUCGGAUUGAAAAGCAAUUUAAGUUGGGAGGAAGGGUUUUAGGCAAAUACGCUGAAGUUAUGACGUUACCAACAGAAUACGCACCGGCCAACUAUGCGCCAACAGCUGCGGUAAUACAGAGGGUGCAAGCGUGAAUCGGAAUUACUGGGCGUAAAGCGCGCGUAGGUGGUUGAGUAAGAUGGGUGUGAAAUCCCCGGGCUUAACCUGGGAACUGCUUUCAUAACUGCUGAGCUAGAGUAAGGUAGAGGGUAGUGGAAUUUCCUGUGUAGCGGUGAAAUGCGUAGAUAUAGGAAGGAACACCAGUGGCGAAGGCGACUACCUGGACUGAUACUGACACUGAGGUGCGAAAGCGUGGGGAGCAAA
rnacentral:rRNA from 1 species